UACAGAGGUCUCAAGCGUUGUUCGGAUUCAUUGGGCGUAAAGGGUGCGUAGGCGGCGCGGUAAGUCGGAUGUGAAAUCUCGGAGCUUAACUCCGAAACUGCAUUCGAUACUGCCGUGCUUGAGGACUGGAGAGGAGACUGGAAUUUACGGUGUAGCGGUGAAAUGCGUAGAUAUCGUAAGGAAGACCAGUGGCGAAGGCGGAUCUCUGGGCCUUACCUGACGCUCAGGCGCGAAAGCUAGGGGAGCGAACAGG
rnacentral:rRNA from 1 species